CGAGACCAGACUUGUGGUAAUGUCUGUGUGCUCACCUGAACUGAAGGUGCAGGUGGACAUCCAGCGCGAUUCACAGACACCUGUAGGGAUGGCACAGCUGGAAGCUGUGCUCCACAAUGAGUCCGUGUGCUUUCCGGGCCUCUGGCUUGUAUGUCUUCCUAAAGAAACAGCAGUGAGUUGUUUUGAAGCAUAAUUUAAAUCAUACUGUUUAAAUGAGAAAAGCCACCCAACCCCCCCCCCCCCCAUGCCAGAAGCAGGAAUGAUCUAUUCAAAAUCUUACAUAAUAAACAGUAUCAAAUGCAUCGUUCACAUGACAGCUAGAACUGACAGGAACAGAGUAGUUAACUGGGGUUGUGGUGAAAGAAAGAAAAAAGAGAGUAAAGGGGGAUAUCCUACAUCGACUGGAAUCAAUGGGAACAUGACCAGGACUUGGAGGGGGGCGGGGGGGGGAUAUACAUCUGGCUCAUCUUCUCCUUCAAAAGGAGAGCAGUGGCUUUUGAAUAAACCAUGUUCCCUCCCACACACCCCAGUUCUCCUUUUGGAUGGCAGAUGUUGCACUGCCAUUUUUAAAAUGCCACCAGAGCUCAUCCCGUGCUGGAGAUGAAUGGGUUGAGAACAACACGCAGACAUGGUCUGUUUUGACCCUGUUCUCACUUCUUUGUUCCCCAUUAAGAAUAUGGUUUCAGCACUUUGAAGUGGGUUAGCCGUUUCAGAAGCAACCUGCCCCUUAAUUAAGGUUCCAUAUCUUAAUUAAUUUAGGCUAAAAACCAUAAACCUACCUGCCACCCAGCAUUUCAGGUUGGCAGUCCCCGUGUAACAUCGUGCCAUUCGUGUACUCACCGACUGCCUUCAGCAGAUACAAUGGCCUCUCCCUACUUCAGCACAGCCUAGCCUACAGGAUUACAGCAUUGUGGUCACAGGACGAAGAAGACAGACCAGUUGCUGCGUGCUGCUUUAUGAAGUGUUGCAUGACGAGCUCCAAGCGGGCCACAGACUUCUCAUUGCUUUUUUUCCUUCCUUUUUUUCCCCUCAAGAUGCAGCCAGUUUGACAAUAGAGACACAGAACACAUUUAAUGCUCGCUAAACCAGGAGUAAAAGGACAGUUCAGAGCUCAGCAGUGUGUUAGCAGAUGUCUGUAGUCCCCCACACACUGCUCUAGCUGUUCAUCCCAACCCUGCGCUUUCACAGCCUUACUAUUGUUGUCUGGGGCCCUUUGAGAGAGCAGAAGCAGCUGAACAAUCUGUCACACGAAACAGCAGUAGCUUAGCAGUGUUCCGUAAAUGAUUACCUACCUUGUAGAGAGGUGUUACACUCAAUUGGCUAAUGGUUGUAAAUUGUUAUAUGAUUGCUGUUGUUUUGUGAGAGCUGGAGCUGUGCUGGAGACACUGGAGGUGCGGUGAAGGUGGGAGAGGCAGGAGGGAGUGGGCAGAGAAUGUAUGAGGAGAAGAUUGAAAAGGAAAAUUGUAGAAACCCAGAGUGCAACUGCGGGGGGGUGGGGGGGAGAAAAAUGGAAUAUUACUUUUCAAAGAAAUUGAAAAUCUGAGCAAAGGAGAAAAUCGUAAGGAUGACAAAGGUAGUUUCAAGACCAACAAAAACAAAAAUUCCAUCAGAAGAAGGGAGGAGAUCUAAAACUAAAAAGGCCACAACAAACAGUCACCUUUAUGUGCGUAAAUAGAAUUGCCUUUUUAUUUUUUGCUCCUAAAUUGCUUUUUUUUCGUCCUUCCUGUUACCGGGACAUAUGUUCUUAAGCACUCUCUUUGAGGUGAGAAGGAAAGGGCUGCUGGAGGCCUCCCUUGUAUUAGAGUCAUUGCAUUCCUCACGGGGAGCUCAACAGAAAAAAGCCCAAAAUCUCAGCAAGGCACCCAAUAGCCUCCCUGAUUGACAACGAGUUGUCACCUUGGUUUCAGUUGGAAAACAGAGUGAGAAAGCAACAUGCAGAACAUUAUCUGAAACUACCGACCGAGCAAAGACGCUUGAGCACAAGCGACUGGUCUCCAUUCAUCCAGCAGCGGUGGUUUUUCAAGCCUUCUACACAUACGUGUUUGGGCAGGGGGUGGGAGAUGCACACACACGUACAUACAGACAUGUGCAUACACACAAAUGUACCAACACCCCUCACCCUGUCCGGGAGAUAAGAGCGUAAAAAGCCAACCCUGCUGUUAUAGUAGAGCAGAUAGCCAAACAGCGUUUCUUCAGAAGUCCGCUUCCAAAAUCCUUCGUCAGCUUUUUGAGAUACCCACACAGAGGGAGCAGUUGUGGAGCCUCAUGAAUUACAGCUCUUCCCCUUCUCUAACCGGUGAGAUCAGGGUGCCAGUGAGGAUGGUGGCUGGGGCCAUCAGAGCUAAUGGUGCCAGAGCUGUGUUUUCAUUUACACAGUUCAAAAAGGAGAGCGGUUCACUAGUGCUGCUUGCCUUGCAGUGCACCUUAACGCUCUGCUUUCCAGAUCUCCAGCAAAGGCAGAGUAUGCAGAGACUUACCUGCUGUUCCAACAGAGCGCGGAGCUGUUUGUGCAGCCGGCCUUGCCAGCAGGCUAACACUCUACAAACUGAUCUCUUUUCCCGCCCCAAACCUGUAAGUUUAUUAGGCGUAUUUAAAGAUCCUGCUCAUUUUUUUUUUUUCAUUGGCAGAGCUUAAAGAAUAAGCUUUUUCCCCAGACUUUUAAAAAUUCCUUUCUGCUACGAUCAUAUGUUCUCUGCAGCAUUAUCAGAGAAUUUACUUUUUCCGAGGUACUUGUCUUUUCUCAUUCUUCCACCUGUGAACUUGAACUUCACAGCUAACACUACACUUGGCAAAAUGUAUAAGAACUGCAUUCAGACUUGCAACCAUUUCCUUUGGUACACUAUGAGAACACUUCCUUUUCAGCGCAGCUCUACAUCAAUUAUAGGGUGGGGAUGCCCACAUCUUCUUCGUGCUUGGCCUCGCCAUUAGUGUUAAACUGAACCCACAUAUGACCAACUCAGACAGUGAAGCACUAGAAUCAGCCAUGUUGUGCACGCAUCGCACCAUUCCACAGCACAGAGAAUUCGAUUACUUAAUCAUAAAAUAUUUGCAUUGGUUUUACUUUGACUAUAUUGUAUUUUUAAUAGGUUUUAAUCUAGGCUUUGUCAUCAGAACACCGCAGUGAAGAAACUUGGCAGCGCAGUCUACCUCCACGGUUGCCAGCAAUAACAGGGCAGCCACAACACCAGUUGCAGCAGGGCGGGCAUUCCCCUAUCUCCACCAACGAUCUCCUUGAGGGAGGUGGUGGUGAGCAAUGUUUGGGAGGUGCCCCGAGACUCCCUCCCCAGUGACGGGCUCUGGAUAACUGCACAGGAGCAGGUAGCCAGGCACAGCAGCAAGCACGCCCCCAGCCUCUGGGAGAUGACCUGCUAGCUGUAGGCAUGGGAUGACACGUCAGUUCUGCUCAUUGGCACGCGCCUCCUGAUCAGCAAAAGGACAGGAUGGCACAUGGGCAGUGAACUAGCACGUACACAGCUGUGGUAGCAGCCUAGCAGUUUUCCAUACAAACCAAAUGUCUUCCCAUUAAGAACAUCAGCAUCAGUGCUGGAAGUGGUCCUAAGGUAAUGGCUACUGCAAGAGAGCGAGACGAAGGGCUCAAGAGCCACAGACAGGAGACAAACAGGGCAGCUCCAGGUGGUCAGGCAGGCUCUGCCUGUGUCCUGCACUAGGCCAAUGUGGUUUCUCAGUUUAGGAGGAGCUGGGAAGAGAACUCUACACCUGAAAAUGGCAGCACCAAGGGGACAGUACAGGCACAAGGAAGAAAGUCAGCUUGAAGAUAGUUGGAUACUAAUGGAAGGGAAGCAUUAGGCAUGGGGAUUAGCCAUCAUCUGGGGAUGAAGCUGCUGAAGCAGGAGAUACAGGGCAAAGGCUGUUUCAGAGAACUGCAUAAAAGUCUUUUUCCAUUAUCUCUGGUCAGACAUGUUAAAAAGACACAGACAAAAGUCAGCACUGGUCUACUGAAUGCAGCUGGAAAAGUAUCAGUGAAAGAGAAAUGAACCCAGAGAGCCAAACUGAGGCAAGGGUACAGGGUGCUCGUUAACAUGGCCUAGAAUCUGGUAGGGAGACACUGAGUGGUGGAAGGGGACACAAACAUCAGGCAGUUCCCGAAAUACUGGAAAAAAAAACAACCCACAAAACAAAUCAGGUGCAGAGCUCUGUGCGUUCAGGUAGCUGGAAAACAGAGUGACCACAGUCAGAAGUUACUGCAGAAGUAGGCCAUUUUCAGGUGUGCCUACAAGAUGCAUGGGAAACCCGUGGAUGCAAGCAGAAGUUGAAUUUACAGUAUUCCUGCCAGGCACCGACCUUCCUUUCAUCAGCUAUAGAUCUUAAGGCUGGCUGUCCUCCAUUCUCCGGACUCGUGUUCAGAAAGAACAGCUACGGAAUUCGUCAUGAAUAACUCUGAACAGCAACUGGUCCUGUGUCUCCUGUGGGGAUGGGUCAAACAUUUAUUGACUGGUUAACGCAAGACUGAGUGGGACCCUUACUUGUCUGUAUUCCUUCACACCACCGCCAGUACAACAAGCCACGUAUUCUCUUGGCUUGGAUCCAAACUUUCCAUCGCCUGGCUUGUGCCAUGCCCUAAAAUAAUGGAGGUCCUGUCGCUCCCGGAGACCUCAAUGUACCCAUGCUGUAGCACAAGCAGAAAUUCAAAGCACCGAGUUACUUUCAAACCUUGCUCCCAGCUACAGUUGAAGGUUGGUCACUGGAGGAGGUAGACCUCAAUAGUACUCAGUCAGACUACUUUUAUAUCCCCCUGUAGAAGAUCAAGACUGUAGGAAUACAAGACAGAAACACUGCUGUGCUGUGGUACCUUGGCAUGAGAUGGUUUAAAAGCUUAGUGAGGCACCUCAAUCGAGUUACACAGUUCCAGGGAGACUGGAAGCGUAGAGAAACCAUCCGACUCUCCACAAAAAAGUUAUUACUCAAAAGGGUUUUUGCUUACCAAAUAAUCUGAUCUCUGGCUACUGCAAAAUGGUUUUCCUGCUCUCUUUGAACUGAAUUUCAAUAUGUGCUUGCAUGAAGAACAUAAUGAAGUACAUGCCUACGGCAAGUGCACUUUAAAGCACUGUCCUUUAUUCCUAGAGACAUUUCCAGGAAACGCGAAGCAGCGGAAUAAAACACCUCUGGCUUUAUCACAGACUCCUUCUGCUGCGUCACUCCUUGCUCAGGGGCUGACACUCGGACAGACACAAGCACAGCAGAUCUGCCUGGCUCUUAGCCAUGCAGGAGAGCCGUGCCUCACAGGAAGGCAGACGUGACGAGGCCUGCAACCCGAAGGCAGCGCACAGCAUUUCAGAAGAGCUGCACGGCACAACUCCAAAGGCCAGUUCCUUCACCAGCCAUGUCUUCACACAAGCAAAGAUACGCACCGAAUAUAACUGCCCAAGUUAUACUGCAGUAUCUGACAGCAGGAUUUAUCUUUCUCUCCGUUCAAAACUCCCACCCUGGUGAAGUGGGACAUUUAGAAGCAGAGAUCAGGCAGUGCUCAUUCAUAGGCGGCUGGUAGCUCACUCUGAAUAGCUCACAUGCAGCCUUACAAGUAAAAUGGCAUUUCUGCCUCUUUCUGAAGCAUCAUCCAGAAAGGGCCCCUUGUGUUACACAUAGUCCAGAUGAACCCUUGGUUAGAGACAGGCAGCUUUUCAGGCCCAGUGGGACCGGGUCACCGAAGGCAGCAUGCAGCAGCUUGCUUAAGGGGCCAGGCUCAUUGGCAUCUCUUAGUUAGGGCUGUGAGAUCUCUCUGCCACUCCAUCCUGAGGCCCAGGGAGGCAUCACUAGUUUUUCAGCCUUGCUUUUACCGAAUAACUCAGCUAAUAGCAUCAGAUGAAGCAGGGAUUUUCUGAUGUUUGGCUAAGCUGUUAAUAUUGUCGUUCUGGCACAUGUUAACAAGUACAGGCAGGUCUGGGUAUUAGUCAUAUUUUUAGAGGCAGCUUUUUUUCUUAUUCUCUGUCUCUCUCUCUCUCUUUUUUUUUUUUUUAAUUAUCUUAUCCAUUGUUACCGGGCUUCAAAGCCCUCAGCAGAAACAGCUGUGUGAGCGUUAUAAAAUUAUAUUGCUAGGCCAGGGCUGUUUUCCAGCUUUACACAAGCUGUAGGUCAAAAGACACUACUCUCUGCACUGAGAAAAGGUACAGAAGGAAUUGCAGGCUAAGAACCAAGUACCUACUCCUGGGGCAUGCCUGAACUGACACUGCCCUCCCAAAUCUGAUUUAGUUUCUAUGUAUAUGCACCUUACUCUAUGGUGUUCAACCUCCAAACUGAUAAAGUGGGAUCGGUCAUAUGUCUGACUCAGCAGCCACUGCAUGCACAGGCUUUUCAGUGCUUUGGCACAUCUUCACUGGUCAUCUAGCAUCAUUAAACGUAUCCUGGAGGUGACCUUUAUGGUACUGGAAUGCUUCAGUAGCAUGUAUUUAUUUUUCUGGGGCUCCUCUGAGCAGAAGCUUGGCCGGCAGUUCUCAGCGAGGCUGCGCUGCUGAAGGUUGGCUUCUGUAAAGUUCAAAGCACUCAAGCCUUACACGUGCCCUCAUCUUGAAUUAGAUAUUGGUAUAUGAAAAGUUGCUGAAGAAACUCUCGCAAUGAGCUCUGUUUCUUAGAGAAGGAUCGGCUCACGACUCUACCUUACCUCUAGCUGCUGUUUGCAUGACAAGUCCUUCAAGGAACAUAAAAAACAAACCCAUUCAUUACGUUUGCACAAGUCAGGCUGACUUGCAGUUGUUACGCAGGAAACAAAUACAAACACAAAUCAUAAAGGAAUGGGAACAAUUAAUUACAGACAACGGAGCAGUGAAGCUUGUUACCAGCACCCAUCGGUCCCACCACUGCUCCCAGCCGAGCAGCCCAUGCCGCAGAACAGGGCCGUGUGCUCAGAGGCAGCAGCUGAGCAGAGCUCGUCCUGCCGCAGCCCGCCUGCUCCUUUGUGGCCCGACAGGCUGCGGCAACCGUGACAGCAGGGACUGCACUCAGCAGAGCAACAGAUUGCAAAGCAGCCGGCGAUACCAGGGCCACGCUUAUGUGGCAAAAUGUGCUAUGAUACCAAGAGGCGAGCUGCCUGCUGCACUACAGCAAAGCAGAUUGCAUAGCAUUAGCGCUGGUGACAACAGGGCACUCAUUGUGUGGGACAACAAGUCACACAGAGAAUGUGCAAAUGCGAUUGGUUGGGCCCACUUAACAUAUGCACAGCAGAGUGACAUAUGGCAAUUGGUGACUUCCCUGCCACAGAUGCUGAAAGGCUUUGUUUCCAUACAGUGUGUGGUGCAGACCCCGUACAUUGUUUCCCUUUUGGUGGGGAGCCCUGUGAGUGCCAGCAGCGCACAGACCCAACCUCCGCGCGCCGCACAUUCCUGGUGCCCCAGUGCCUCUGGCUGUGCUGUGCUGUGCUGUGCAGGCGCUCCUGCUGAAACACUGCCCACCAGCCAAAGCCAUGGGCAUGCUGAGAAACACCAUUCAUUCUGAAACGCAGCUGAGAUGGACUCCCUUUUCCGUUCCCUCUGCCCUUCUCGUUGGGUUUCUACACGUUGAGAUAAUGCCACAGCCUGAAACAAACCAUUUCUAAAGAUGCUUGCUUUUUCAUUAGAACCUUUGUUUUCAGUAGUUUCUCUCUAUGAAGGAUACAAACAUGUAACUAGAUUGUAGUUGACAAAUAGAUUGCUUUUUCAACACUGCUAAGCAAACGUUUAAGUGGAAGUAAAGAUGGGCAAUGCCAAGUGCUAUCUUGGCCACAAGACAGAGACGAAUGGAAAAGAGGCUUGAUCAGCUUGCUGCCACCUCCCACCGGGGAGCAUCUUCAGAGCUGCCCAAAUGAGCAGACUUUUAUUCACUUUAUGCUCCUUUUGCUUUUUGAGAGCUAGUGAAGGAAACGUUGCUUUGUAAAGGGGCUGUGGAGCAGCCAUACUCCAAGUCAAGGGUAACACGACUUGCUCCUACCAUGCUGCAGAAGAAGGUGGCAAAAGAAUGAGCAUGAGUGCUGAGACCACUUGGAGAUCACCAGAGGGCUGAGUUGCUCCAAGACCUUCACAGUGACUUGUCUCCAUGGCCCCCAAUGGCUCCCUGAGUUUCUGUAUAUCCAUGCAGAAAUAUGAGCACAUGUGCGGUAAGUCUGAUUAGUUCUGACUGCAUCGUAUUUACUCUGCAAGCACCAACCAUCUGUGCAGCAACUGUCCAAUAUGUCCAGGCUGCAUCAGACCCUCUGGACCCGUACUGUGUUGAUGCACGCAUUUGCAGUGCUCAUCCAAUACCUCUGGCUGGCUCAUCUCUCGGAACUACCACUCUGUUAUGAUGAAAUCUCAGAUAAACAGCUUCAGCCCUCAAAUUAGGCCCGAAUAAAGAAGCAGAAAUGGGGAACAACAUGAGGUGCAUUUGGGGAAAACUGGAUUUGCAGCAGUCCCGUCUCUGUGGCUUUGAGUAUAAUCUGAAGAGUUAGUAAUCAACUGACUGGGAGAGGGCAUACGGGGAGAAGAGUUUUACCUUGAGAAUAGCUCCCUCUGCAGCCUUAUUUUCAGCACCCACAACACAGCACAUCAGAACAGAAUCGUUCAGUUGGGGGAGUCCUACAAAGACCGUCACACACCUGAUGUACACCAGGUAGUUAACUGAUGGCUCCAGAGUGAAACAAAAACGGAAGCAUAUUGUUAAGGAUGUUAUCCAAAUGCUCCUUGAGAGCUGACAGGCACCGGGCAUCGACCCCCUCUCCAUCCCAUUGCUCAACCACCCUCGUGUUGAAGAAUUUUUUCCUAAUACCCAGUCCUUAGACUAACAAUUGCUUAAUUGCUACUCGUAGCUGGAAGAGCCUUCUGGGAAUGAACGGAGUCAGUCUGGAAAAGCUGUGCUCUCCACUCCUGCUAGGGUGCCAGUUUGUCUCAUGCUUUGCAAUGCCACAGGACGGUGCAAAACAACCUCAGUGAUCCACACCGAAAAGCAGCCGGCCUUUCAAUCUUAAAUAACGCUGCCGACAGGAAGAUCGCAUCAAAGCUGCUGAGAAGCUGGUAAAGAAACGAGGCAACUUCUGAAUGUCCUGCAAUACCCG
rnacentral:lncRNA from 1 species